rnacentral:rRNA from 1 species
UCAUGGGGGGAGAGACCAACAGGGAUUGCCUCAGUAACGGCGAGUGAAGCGGCAACAGCUCAAAUUUGAAAUCUGGCCCUCGGGUCCGAGUUGUAAUUUGUAGAGGAUGCUUUUGGCGCGGUGCCUUCCGAGUUCCCUGGAACGGGACGCCUUAGAGGGUGAGAGCCCCGUACGGUUGGACACCAAGCCUCUGUAAAGCUCCUUCGACGAGUCGAGUAGUUUGGGAAUGCUGCUCUAAAUGGGAGGUAAAUUUCUUCUAAAGCUAAAUAUUGGCCAGAGACCGAUAGCGCACAAGUAGAGUGAUCGAAAGAUGAAAAGCACUUUGAAAAGAGGGUUAAAUAGCACGUGAAAUUGUUGAAAGGGAAGCGUUUGCGACCAGACCUUUUCCUGGCGGAUCAUCCGGUGUUCUCACCGGUGCACUUCGCCAGGUCGAGGCCAGCAUCGGUUUCCGCGGGGGGAUAAAAGCUCUGGGAACGUAGCUCCUCCGGGAGUGUUAUAGCCCUCUGCACAAUACCCCCGCGGGGACCGAGGACCGCGCUCUAAGCAAGGAUGCUGGCGUAAUGGUUGUCAACGACCCGUCUUGAAACACGGACCAAGGAGUCGAACAUUUGUGCGAGUGUUUGGGUGUCAAACCCUCACGCGUAAUGAAGGUGAACGUAGGUGAGAGCCCUUACGGGUGCAUCAUCGACCGAUCCUGAUGUCUUCGGAUGGAUUUGAGUAAGAGCAUAACUGUUCGGACCCGAAAGAUGGUGAACUAUGCGUGGAUAGGGUGAAGCCAGAGGAAACUCUGGUGGAGGCUCGCAGCGGUUCUGACGUGCAAAUCGAUCGUCAAAUCUGCGCAUGGGGGCGAAAGACUUAUCGAACCAUCUAGUAGCUGGUUACCGCCGAAGUUUCCCUCAGAUAGCAGUGUUGUUCUUCAGUUUUAUGAGGUAAAGCGAAUGAUUAGGGACUCGGGGGCGCUUUUUUGCCUUCAUCCAUUCUCAAACUUUAAAUAUGUAAGAAGCCCUUGUUACUUAA